rnacentral:rRNA from 1 species
ACUCAAAGGAAUAGACGGGGGCCCGCACAAGCGGUGGAGCAUGUGCUUUAAUUCGAUGCAACGCGAAGAACCUUACCUGGGCUUGACAUGGGGGUGAAAGGUUUCAGAGAUGGAAUCCCUUCCGCAAGGAACACCCUACACAGGUGCUGCAUGGUUGUCGUCAGCUCGUGUCGUGAGAUGUUGGGUUAAGUCCCGCAACGAGCGCAACCCUCGUCCUUAGUUGCUAACAGGUUACGCUGAGAACUCUAAGGAGACUGCCUGGAUUAACCAGGAGGAAGGUGGGGAUGACGUCAAAUCCUCAUGGCCCUUACGUCCAGGGCUAGACACGUGCUACAAUGGCCGGUACAACGAGCUGCAAGUCAGUGAUGACAAGCUAAUCUCUUAAAACCGGUCUCAGUUCGGAUUGAAGUCUGCAAUUCGACUUCAUGAAGCUGGAAUCGCUAGUAAUCGCGGAUCAGCAUGCCGCGGUGAAUACGUUCCCGGGCCUUGUACACACCGCCCGU